GAUGAACGCUGGCGGCGUGCCUAAUACAUGCAAGUCGAGCGAACAGACGAGGAGCUUGCUCCUCUGACGUUAGCGGCGGACGGGUGAGUAACACGUAGAUAACCUACCUAUAAGACUGGGAUAACUUCGGGAAACCGGAGCUAAUACCGGAUAAUAUAUUGAACCGCAUGGUUCAAUAGUGAAAGACGGUUUUGCUGUCUCUUAUAGAUGGAUCCGCGCCGCAUUAGCUAGUUGGUAAGGUAACGGCUUACCAAGGCAACGAUGCGUAGCCGACCUGAGAGGGUGAUCGGCCACACUGGAACUGAGACACGGUCCAGACUCCUACGGGAGGCAGCAGUAGGGAAUCUUCCGCAAUGGGCGAAAGCCUGACGGAGCAACGCCGCGUGAGUGAUGAAGGUCUUCGGAUCGUAAAACUCUGUUAUUAGGGAAGAACAAAUGUGUAAGUAACUAUGCACGUCUUGACGGUACCUAAUCAGAAAGCCACGGCUAACUACGUG
rnacentral:rRNA from 1 species